CGCCUUGCCAGCCCGCUCAGAAACUUAAAGGAAUGACGGGGCCGCACAAGCGGAGGAGCAUGUGGUUUAAUUCGAUGAUACGCGAGGAACCUUACCUGGGCUCGAACGUAAGAUGACUGUAGGUGAAAGCUUACAUCUCUUCGGAGCAUUUUACGAGGUGCUGCAUGGUUGUCGUCAGCUCGUGCCGUGAGGUGUCGGGUUAAGUCCCAUAACGAGCGCAACCCCUACCUUUAGUUGCCAUCAGGUUAAGCUGGGGACUCUAAAGGAACUGCCUACGCAAGUAGUGAGGAAGGCGGGGAUGACGUCAAAUCAGCACGGCCCUUACGUCCAGGGCUACACACGUGCUACAAUGGCCGAUACAGAGGGCAGCUACCUGGUGACAGGAUGCAAAUCUCCAAAGUCGGUCUCAGUUCGGAUCGGAGUCUGCAACCCGACUCCGUGAAGUUGGAUUCGCUAGUAAUCGCGCAUCAGCCAUGGCGCGGUGAAUACGUUCCCGGGCCUU
rnacentral:rRNA from 1 species